rnacentral:lncRNA from 1 species
AGAAAGGAAGCAGAAACCACGUCUGAGCAAGCGCCGCGCUGCCGCCUUGCUGCUUCUGAGCACGCAGAGUCUGGGGACGAGGACAGGGCCCCAUGUCCUGCUCCUCAGUGUAGGACCGAUCCCCCCCAGUUCCCGAGACAGAUCUGCUGAGCACRCGAAGAGCCAGGACAUGGCACCCCACGGCCUCCGACCUGCCAUGUGCCAGCAACCGGGCAGGGGAGGAGCAGAGCCAUGCUGUUUGCCACCCYGUGAACCUGGGGAACGGGCUGGUAAUGGGACCGUGCGCGAGACCCAGCCUGCCGCGGUGGCAGGGUCGUGUGGGCUGUGCGAGCGGGGCUGCUGGGUUCCCUUGUGCCGGGAACUCCUGGGUCCCAGCCUUGCCUGGGGCUCACCCAGGCUGCGGCCUGGGUAGCGUCUCUGGGGAUACUGCCAGGAAGUGACACUUUCCAUUUCGUGUAACACCCAGCUGCCGAAAGGAGGGGGCUGCUGCUUCGCUGAUGGAGUACACAGCGAGAGACCAAGAGAUGGAAGAGAGGGUCACGUACGCAGAUCUGCACUUCGCCCCCACACCAGGUAAUGGCAUGCUGGUGCCCCCCUGCCCUGCUCGCCCUCCUAGCACCCGCAUCUCUCCCCGCCACUUCCCCUUGCCCUCCUGCAGCUCUCUCUUCUCUGCAGGGCUGUUUUCCCCCAGCAGUACUCCCACACCACUCACUCUUUUCAGGUAUCUGCUUCUGCACCUCUGCCAAACAGCUCCUCUCCAGCCGCCUGGCAGACUGCCUGCGCUGGGGGUGAGAGGCAGGAGGGGUUCAAGGGCAGGGGACACUCRCUGCCCACCUGAUGCGUGGCACAGGCACUCCUGCUCCCCCCAUGCCAAGUGCCAUCUGCAGAGGGACAACUUCUAGCAGAGUUUGGGUGCUGCAGCUGGGCUCUCCCUUCAGCCCACACCAGUGCUGCAGUUGUCCUGGGGGACAUCAUCUGGAGGAGACCAAUGUCUGCAUAGCUUCAGGCUCCCCAGAUGCCCUCCUGAGACCUGCCCAGGGUGCACAGACCUUUCCUGGCGUGGGGGAUCCUUGCUGCUCUCCCGCAGAGCCCUCAGGACCCAGGUUAUCUCUUUUUCUCAGCUCCUCAGCGAAUGAAGCAGCAGCCCUGGCGCUGUGCAGCCCUCAGCCUGGCUCUCCUUUGCCUGCUGCUCCUGCUGGCACAAAUUGUUCUCGUUGGCUUGAGCUUCCACCUUUUAGGGCAACUGGCAGGCUGCACCCAUGGUCCCUGGAGCACGGAGGAGACCCUCAGCUAUGGGCAACAGACUCUGCCAGGGCAAUGCCAGUUCUGCCCAGCUGGCUGGCUCUGGGACGCAGGGCAGUGCUACUACUUCUCUUCUGCCAAAAAGACCUGGGAGCAGAGCAAAGAGGACUGCUGUUCCAGAGAGGCACAGCUGGUCACCAUCCGAGCCAAUGCCACCCUGGCUCUUCCCAAUCCAGCGUUUCACCAACUCUUUCCUGUCCUGCGGGAGGGUGUCUCGCUCAGGCCUGUCUGGCGGCCUGUGCAGGGAAGCCCACAGCUGGAUCUGUGAGAAGAGUGCUGCCACCCUGCAGUGGGUCCAGUCCGCACCCCCCGCCUUCCUCUGGGGGAAUACCACCUACACCUGUGCGAGGCACUGGUAACCCGGGCCCAGGUCCUGCAGGGACCUCCAGCCUGGCCACCCUGGCAGCACAGGGACACCGUCGCUGCCRUUGCACCCUGCCUGACCUGUCCUCCCGUGCGCUGGCGUCCCAGACUGCAGUCUCCUAA